rnacentral:lncRNA from 1 species
UGAUGGGGGCCAGCUGUGGCAUUGAGGGUGGCGGCAAGGAGGAAUUAGGGAGUAGAAUAAGGAAGGAGAGAGGAAGGGGAGAAGAAAUCUUUUACUUUGAAGUUUGAGACAAGGAGGUAGCAAAGAGAGAUUCGAGAGGGAGGAGAGGGGAAAAGGAGGAGGAAAGGUUUUUAAUUAAGAUACCUACUCAAGCGGCUGCAGCUUGUCCCACGGCUAUUUCAACUGCAAAUCGAUCUACUGCAAAAUAAUCUUGAGUCGCAUCCUAAUGGGCAAACUUUGCAAGGGCACCCUACAUCUACAACCUUCAGUUAUCAGACUCCUAACAACGUCUCGGUUAUUUUUGUUCGCAAAGUGCUCACAAGAAGUGGAUCGCCGCGCAAUUAGUUAGACUGCAUGUGCAACGCAUAUAAGAACGAUGAUAAAUGCCCAUUAUUCUAUAGAAGAGCCUUUGACUAGAAGGAAGAGAUAAUUCAAGGGGAAAAUCCUGGUGCAACCUCUAAAAGGGCAUAUUUAAUAGAUUGUAGGUUUUCUUGAUACGUAUGUAGGUAGGUAGGUAAGUAGGGAUUUAUAGUACACUUUGGACUAAAGUAAAACUACAUCCAAUUCUUGUGUUAGUUGU